rnacentral:tRNA from 1 species
GCCUUCGGGGUGUAAUGGUCAGCACACUGAGCCGGUAUUUCAGAGGUCAGCCGGUAUUUGGUCCGUGGUUCGAUUCCCGGCGAAGGCA